ACCGUAGCGAUUCUGACGUGCAAAUCGAUCGUCAAAUUUGGGUAUAGGGGCGAAAGACUAAUCGAACCGUCUAGUAGCUGGUUCCCUUCGAAGUUUCCCUCAGGAUAGCUGGCGCUCUGUCGCAGUUUUAUCUGGUAAAGCGAAUGAUUAGAGGUCUUGGGGGCGAAACGCCCUCAACCUAUUCUCAAACUUUAAAUUGGUAAGAAGCCCGACUCGCUCGUUUGGAGCCGGGCAUGGAAUGCGAGUGCCAAGUGGGCCACUCUUGGUAAGCAGGACUGGCGAUGCGGGAUGAACCGAACGCCGGGUUAAGGCGCCCGACGCGACGCUCAUCAGAGCCCACAAAAGGUGUUGGUUGAUAUAGACAGCAGGACGGUGGCCAUGGAAGUCGGAAACCGCUAAGGAGUGUGUAACAACUCACCUGCCGAAUCAAUCAGCCCUGAAAAUGGAUGGCGCUGGAGCGUCGGGCCUAUACCCGGCCGUCGCGGCGGUACGAGCAUCGAGUUGGUGCGCUAGGCCGCGACGAGUAGGAGGGCCGCGGCGGCGGGCGUAGAAGCCUAGGGCGCGAGCCCGGGUGGAGCAGCCGUCGGUGCAGAUCUUGGUGGUAGUAGCAAAUAUUCAAAUGAGAACUUUGAAGGCCAAAGUGGAGAAGGGUUCCAUGUGAACAGCAGUUGAACAUGGGUCAGUCGACCCUAAGGGAUAGGCGAAGGCCGUUCUGAAGCGGGGUGAUGUUCGCGUCGCCCCGGCGGACCGAAAGGGAAUCGGGUUAAUAUUCCCGAACCUCGACGCGGAGAUUGGCGCUCCGGCGCCUAGUGCGGCAACGCAAACGAACUCGGAAACGCCGACGUGGGUCCCGGGAAGAGUUCUCUUUUCUUGGUAAGGGGCGGCGACCCUGGAAUCGGUUCGCCCGGAGAUAGGGACAUGGGCCCCGUAAAGCAGCACGUCUCUUGUGCUGUCCGGUGAGCUCGCGUCGGCCCUUGAAAAUCCGAGGGAGACGGUGUAAUUUUCGUGCGAGGUCGUACCCAUAUCCGCAGCAGGUCUCCAAGGUGAACAGCCUCUGGCCGAUAGAACAAUGUAGGUAAGGGAAGUCGGCAAACUAGAUCCGUAACUUCGGGAAAAGGAUUGGCUCUAGGGGCUGGGUCGGUCGGGCUGAGGUACGAAGCGGGGCGCGGCGCUGUACCGGACUGGGCGAACGACGGCCUCCCUCGCGGGGGGCUGGCGUGAGCCUGGACCUGUGUCGGCGUCUUCCCGUGGAAUGCCGCAGCUAACGCGGGCCUCGCGGCCCGCUUCGGCCGGCGUCGAACAGCCGACUUAGAACUGGU
rnacentral:ncRNA from 1 species